AGGACGAACGCUGGCGGCGCGCUUAACACAUGCAAGUCGAGCGAGAACCAGUCCUUCGGGACUGGGGACAGCGGCGAACGGGUGAGUAACACGUGGGUAAUCUGCCCUCGAUUCUGGGAUAGCCCGGGGAAACCCGGAUUAAUACCGGAUAGCCUCUCGAGCUUUCGAGCUCGUGAGAAAAGGUAGCUUCGGCCUCCGAUCGAGGAUGAGCCCGCGGCGGAUUAGCUUGUUGGUGGGGUAAUGGCCUACCAAGGCAACGAUCCGUAGCUGGUCUGAGAGGACGAUCAGCCACACUGGGACUGAGACACGGCCCAGACUCCUACGGGAGGCAGCAGUGGGGAAUCUUGCGCAAUGGGCGAAAGCCUGACGCAGCGACGCCGCGUGGGGGAAGAAGGGCCUUCGGGUUGUAAACCUCUUUCAGCAGGGACGAAGCCACUCGGUUAAUAGCCCAGAGGUGACGGUACCUGCAGAAGAAGCCCGGCUAACUACGUGCCAGCAGCCGCGUAAU
rnacentral:rRNA from 1 species